AGUCAGUGCGCAUGCGCGUAGCUCGGCUUAAAGGAGCCGCGCUGGGAACACUGCGGUCGGGGCGAGGAAGCUGCCGGGGAAGUGAGAUGACGGUCGCGGGGGUGCCCAGGAGCCCUGAAAAACUUGUGCCCUGGGCACGGCAAAAUCUGCAGGUUGCAGAAAGUCUCAACUGAUCCUGGCAUACCCCGAGGUGCCGACUUUUAGAGCUGAAGAUGCAAGAAAGAUUGGGAUCCUGCGAUGCACCGAACCUGUCUCUCGAAGUGUGUGCGCCCUGCUUCCUGUGUUAAACAAUUUGCUACAAGGUCACACAAUUUUAACUAGAAGACUGAGAUGUGAACCUGGGUGGUCUGAUGUGAACACCACUGUCUGGUAAUCCCAACGCUCUGCUGCUUUGCGACAGAGAAUGUUUUAGGGAACACACAGACUAUGUACUUAACCAAAUCUGGAAUUUGCCGUAAGAUAUUAAUCAGAGAAGUAAUGAUACUUGCAUUUUAAAAUGAAGGCUUUGGCAGUAGGAGAAGGGUGAAUAAGAGGCUUAAGAGCCUGAAGGGAGAAAUGCCAAUGAUACAAUUAUCCAGCAAGAAAUAAUCAGAAGUUGAAGUAAGGCAAUGAUGGUAGGGAUGGAAUAUAAAAAAGCUGUACCCCUAUCUGACAUCUUUAUUGGGGGAACCCGCCCCCAAUAUUUCAACGUAGGUUCUUUCUAUUUUCCAUAAGUGUUGGCCAGCUGAGAAAUAAAGAGAGACAGUAUAAAGAGAGGAAUUUUACAGCUGAGCCACCGGG
rnacentral:lncRNA from 10 species